rnacentral:lncRNA from 1 species
UUGAAGGGGAUCAUGAUAAGAACCAUUUCGGCAUGGGUGAUGAUGAACAGAAGUUGGAUCAUGUUCUUGUUGAUGAAAGGUGAAGCUUAGGGCAGCAGCAGAUGGAAAUGAUUGCUGAGGUGGCGGAGGUGUUUCGCCGCCGGCGUCGUUUGAGGACAGCUGAGUUAUAGACAUGGCGCGCACAGUCCUGAUCACGUCAUUAACAUUAAAGACAUGCCUUGGUCCAUCGUUCCGAAAAUAUAACUCCACAGCUUUUUCAGGCAUAGUGGGCUUGAACUUCAACAGCUUAGCAUAUUCGUUUAAAAGAUGAAACAUGUAGUUUGUCCAUCUUCAAGUCCUCUUAGAUAAAAUCACUGGCUGCCUUCCCCAUGGACCGUGCCUUCUGCUUAUGGCGGUUGCCCCAGUCAACAGCAAACUUAAUUGACCUGCACUUGUCAUCCUCCCUUAUGGACCAAUAGCAGUGCACCGGCAUCAAACUCUUAAUGAAUGCAUUGGCUUGGGCUUGGUUGUGGCAUGAUUGAUCCUGUUGGCUGCUUGCUAUUGAGCUCAUUUGGCACCCUGAGAGCCAUAUGCAUCUCGUCCACUGGGAACCAUGAAUCUAUGAUGGCGAGCCGAAAUACAUAGCCAUCUCUCCUCGAGCCCAGAUCAGAAUAUGCACAGCCAAAUCAUUCGGAAUAAACCCAGAAUUGUGAGCCAUAAAAGGGAUAUGGAUUGGGGUGCUAGAAGUAAAGAAGUAUGAAAAAAGAAAGAAUGGGAUAUAACGUGCUCAGAACAGAGCAAAACAGAGUGAGCAAAGCAUAAGUGGGAUCCCCUUUCAUAUUCAGAUCCAAGGGUUCUGGCCAGUGGUGCAUCAGGAGAGUUUAAAAUAAAUACCAUAAGGGGAAUGAGCCAUAUCCAAAUAAGCAAAAAUACAGAGGAAAGUAAUACAACAUCACACUUAUACCCGAACAACCAACCAAGGAUCAGAAAGGAAAACAGAGACAGCAAGAGAAAAUGUAAGAUAGAAAGAAAACAGAGUGAGUGAGAAUAGUCCAAGAGAUUACCACCAAUGUACCUGGAGAUGCUCUUUCAAAGUUCUUGAGUUGUUCCUCCUCUCGCCUCUUCAACUCUAUCUUUCUCCUUCACUCUCGGCUCCUCCUUUCCUUAAGUUGUCCACCACUCUCAAGCAAACAUACUCCCUCCGGUUACCUUUCUCUCAUCCUCUGAUUUUUCUCUGGAAAACUCUAACUCUCUGGUUCUUCUCUCCCUCUUCUUUCUCCCCCAGACUCUGAAUAUCCAGCUUGCCCCUCCAGAAUCUCCCAAAACUCA